UGGCCACAUCAUGUUGAAACACUGGUUCCCGUAUAAUCAUGGAAUUUAAGCAACAUCAAGCCUGGUCAGUACCUAGAUGGGUGACCACUUGGAAAUACCAGGUGCU